ACAUGCAGUCGAGGGGUAUAGGAGAGCCUGCUUUUCUAGAGACCGGCGCACGGGUGCGUAACGCGUAUGCAACCUACCCUUUUCUGGGGGAUAGCCCGAAGAAAUUCGGAUUAAUACCGCAUAAGACCACGCUAUGGCAUCAUAGAGGGGUCAAACAUUUAUGGGAGAAGGAUGGGCAUGCGUGCCAUUAGCUAGUUGGUAGGGUAACGGCCUACCAAGGCGACGAUGGCUAGGGGAUCUGAGAGGAUGGCCCCCCACACUGGUACUGAGACACGGACCAGACUCCUACGGGAGGCAGCAGUAAGGAAUAUUGGUCAAUGGAGGCAACUCUGAACCAGCCAUGCCGCGUGCAGGAAGACGGCCCUCUGGGUUGUAAACUGCUUUUACUCGGGAAUAAACCUAUCUACGUGUAGAUAGCCGAAUGUACCGAAGGAAUAAGGAUCGGCUAACUCCGUGCCAGCAGCCGCGGUAAUACGGAGGAUCCAAGCGUUAUCCGGAUUUAUUGGGUUUAAAGGGUGCGUAGGCGGCCUGUUAAGUCAGGGGUGAAAGACGGUAGCUCAACUAUCGCAGUGCCCUUGAUACUGAUGGGCUUGAAUGGACUAGAGGUAGGCGGAAUGAGACAAGUAGCGGUGAAAUGCAUAGAUAUGUCUCAGAACACCGAUUGCGAAGGCAGCUUACUAUGGUCUUAUUGACGCUGAGG
rnacentral:rRNA from 1 species